AGCAGCUCUUGGACCUGGGCUGCUUGCUGAGGAGGAGUGCUGCACAGCUAGAGAUCCCCUUCACCAGAUGGGUAAACAAGGAAUCUAAUUGGAAUGCCACAAAAAGAUCUGCUAAGAGGAGCAUCAGGAAUGAAGCAGUCAGAGGUGCUGUCUGGAAGGCAGGCAGGGGAAGGCACUCAUGCAGGGAAAUGCUGCUGUACUCUGGGAUUUAGGAAACGAGUGCAAUGUGUGGAGUUUUGGAAGUGUGAAACUCAUAAGAAGAGGAGAAGCAGCAGGAGAGGCUAAAGAAUGGAGAAUGAAGACACACUAUAUCCCUUCCGUGGUGUUGGGCUGCCCUCUUCCAUGAGAUAUUGGACAUGAGCAGUGCUAAUGGUGGCUUUCAGGUGACACUCAUGGAACUGUUCAAAAACGCUCAGCUCUUCUUUCCCUUCCGUGUAAGGUGUAGCAUAUGCUUUUAAUGUAAGCCACGUACCCUUAAACAUCAGCAGAAGAUUAAGCAAAUACUUCGGAGAGCAUUACUGUAUUAAGACAGCAGCGAAUGCCACGUGCUGUUGUUGAUGCCAGCGUGGGCCCGCUGACAUAUGCAAAGAUCUUCUUCAGAGAUUCAUGAAGUGAGCAGUCGUACUUUUUGUUUAAAUUUUGAGACUCCCGAGGAAACAAGGAGGGAGCAGGGCUGCUAUCAAAUGUGCUGUCAGUUAGAUUAAAAAUCAAAGGGCUGCUUUAAAUGAAUGUGAGGGCCCAAAGGGUCUCUCAGUCGCUCCGUGCCAGAUGCUGGAGCAGGGGUGAGGUCUGCUCAGCGCCCACCCUGAGAAUUCCUUCCACCUUCCACUGUGUUUGGGAAGCCCAGCUUGCCUAAUCACAUGUGGUUCCUAAUUGGAAAUAGUGGUAUUUGGGAAAUACUGACUGAGCAUAAAUAAAGA